rnacentral:rRNA from 1 species
ACCCUUAGAUGUCCUGGGCCGCACGCGCGCUACAAUGACACAUGCAACAAGUUCUAUCCUGGCUCGGAAGAGUUUCGGGUAAUCUUUAUAAUGUGUGUCGUGCUGGGGAUCGAUCUUUGUAAUUAUGGAUCUUGAACGAGGAAUUCCUAGUAAGCAUAAGUCAUCAGCUUGUGCUGAUUACGUCCCUGCCCUUUGUACACACCGCCCGUCGCUCCUACCGAUUUUGAGUGGUCCGGUGAACCUUCUGGAUUGUGCGGCUUGCCGCGCGAGAAGUUAUGUAAACCUUAUCACUUAGAGGAAGGAGAAGUCGUAACA